UGUCACAUAAUUUCAAGGGUCUUCCCUGAGCAAGGCCCAGAUGGGGUCCUAGGGAGCAGCUGAAGACAUAUGGAUGCAGUUUCGUGAUUCCGGGAGCAAGAUAGUGGAGGAAGGAGGUGCUGAUGCUUUGGGAACUCACAGAAUUGUUUCUUUAAGCUGAAGAGGGUUAAACCUCAGGAAUAAAGUGGCUUUGCAGUGAGAAAUGGUCAGAAAGAUAUCCAAAGGGAAUGAUUCAAGAGAAAAUAAGAAGAAGCUCAGGAGAAGGUCAAGUACUUGACUUCAAAGAUUUGGCUUGAGUAGUCAAUAGGGGCAGAUCCGAUAAGAGAGAUGGUGGCCGGGGUACACAAUGGAGCCCCACGUGCCUAUAUAUGGUAGGUACAUCCAGGGCAUGAACAUAA